GAAAUGCGAUAAGUAAUGUGAAUUGCAGAAUUCCGUGAAUCAUCGAAUCUUUGAACGCACAUUGCGCCCUCUGGCAUUCCGGGGGGGAUGCCUGUCCGAGCGUCAUUACGCACCCUCAAGCCCGGCUUGUGUGAUGGGCCCCGGCGUCUCGUUCGCGAGACGGGCCCGAAAGGCAUCGGCGGCGUCGACCCGAUGAGCCCGAGCGUAUGGGGACUUCUGUCACACGUUCGCGGUGCGGACCGGCGCCUGCUUGACUUUUCUGAUUAUCCAGGUUGACCUCGGAUCAGGUAGGGAUACCCGCUGAACUUAAGC
rnacentral:misc_RNA from 1 species